GACGAACGCUGGCGGCGUGCUUAACACAUGCAAGUCGAACGAAGAGCGAUGGACGCUUGCUUCUCUCAAUCUUAGUGGCGAACGGGUGAGUAUCGCGUAAUCAACCUGCCCUUCAGAGGGGGACAACAGUUGGAAACGACUGCUAAUACCGCAUACGAUCUAAUCUCGGCAUCGAGGAUAGAUGAAAGGUGGCCUCUACAUGUAAGCUAUCACUGAAGGAGGGGAUUGCGUCUGAUUAGCUAGUUGGAGGGGUAACGGCCCACCAAGGCGAUGAUCAGUAGCCGGUCUGAGAGGAUGAACGGCCACAUUGGGACUGAGACACGGCCCAGACUCCUACGGGAGGCAGCAGUGGGGAAUCUUCCGCAAAGGACGAAAGUCUGACGGAGCAACGCCGCGUGAGUGAUGACGGCCUUCGGGUUGUAAAGCUCUGUUAAUCGGGACGAAAGGCCUUCUUGCGAAUAGUGAGAAGGAUUGACGGUACCGGAAUAGAAAGCCACGGCUAACUACGU
rnacentral:rRNA from 1 species